GGCUUAGUAGCUCAGUGGUAGAGCAGGAGACUCAUAAGCUCUUGGUCGCAGGUUCAAGUCCCGCCUAAGCCA
rnacentral:tRNA from 1 species